rnacentral:rRNA from 1 species
GAUGAACGCUGACAGAAUGCUUAACACAUGCAAGUCAACUUGAACUUCGGUUUGGGUGGCGGACGGGUGAGUAACGCGUAAAGAACUUGCCUCACAGCUAGGGACAACAUUUGGAAACGAAUGCUAAUACCUGAUAUUAUGAUUAUAUGGCAUCGUAUAAUUAUGAAAGCUAUAUGCGCUGUGAGAGAGCUUUGCGUCCCAUUAGCUAGUUGGAGAGGUAACAGCUCACCAAGGCGAUGAUGGGUAGCCGGCCUGAGAGGGUGAUCGGCCACAAGGGGACUGAGACACGGCCCUUACUCCUACGGGAGGCAGCAGUGGGGAAUAUUGGACAAUGGACCGAGAGUCUGAUCCAGCAAUUCUGUGUGCACGAUGAAGUUUUUCGGAAUGUAAAGUGCUUUCAGUUGGGAAGAAAAAAAUGACGGUACCAACAGAAGAAGUGACGGCUAAAUACGUG